rnacentral:rRNA from 1 species
UACAGAGGGUGCUAGCGUUGCUCGGAAUCACUGGGCGUAAAGGGUGCGUAGGCGGGUCUUUAAGUCAGGGGUGAAAUCCUGGAGCUCAACUCCAGAACUGCCUUUGAUACUGAGGAUCUUGAGUUCGGGAGAGGUGAGUGGAACUGCGAGUGUAGAGGUGAAAUUCGUAGAUAUUCGCAAGAACACCAGUGGCGAAGGCGGCUCACUGGCCCGAUACUGACGCUGAGGCACGAAAGCGUGGGGAGCAAACAGG